rnacentral:rRNA from 1 species
GGAAAGCUCAAAUGGGGAAUUGGCCCCGGAGGCAGCAGUAAAGAAUUUUGUGCAAUAUAUGAAGGUAAGACACAGAGAGGGCACCUUGCCUAGUCCGUCAAAUUAAGUGCCAGCAGACGCGGUGAAACUUAAGGGCUAGUUUUGUGGGCAAAAGCGUAAAGGGUGUGAUAGGCCGUUUUAAUUAAAAAGGGUUUUAUAAUUUAAGAAGGUAAAUGGAAUUUUUUUGUAGCGGUGGAAUGUGUAAAUAGAAAAAAGAACUUUAGACGUGAAGACUAUUUAUUUUUGAGAUUAUAGUGUGGUGGCUAAAACACGAGAGUAUGGGGAGCAAACAGGAUUAGGGACCCUGGUAGUCUAUACUGUAAAUAAUGAAAAAGAUGUGAAGCAAUCCUAAAAAGUCAGAAAUUUUCCGCUUGAGUAGUACGACCGCAAGGUUAAAAUUCAAAAAACUUGGCUGUUCACUGUUUUGAUUAGAGGAGCGUGUCGUUUAAUUCGAUAGUCCGCGAGAGACCUUACCCAAACUUGAAUCCCUCAUUGACAGGUAUUGCAUGGCCGUCGUCAAUUUGUGUAUUAAACAUAAAACAGAUUUAACCCAGUGGUUUGUCACUUGGAUGAAGUCAGGUCUUAUUGUCCUAAUGUUUGGGGAUUAGAUGCGCUACAUUUUUUUAUACAAUAGGAAACUUAGAGUGUGAAACCUGAAAAUAAGAGUUCGGAAAGUGCCUGGAAGAUAACGGAAAGUUGUAUUUAAUAGUAAUUGAAAAGUAGAGCGUUUCAAUGAAAUUUUUUCAGUGUUAGUACAAAUUGCCCGUCGCCUUUGCUUAGACAGGUUGGUUGAUUGCCCCUCAAGAGGGUUUCUAAUACCUCCGAGGCAGAGUAA